UACGUAGGGUGCAAGCGUUUGUCCGGAAUUAUUGGGCGUAAAGAGCUCGUAGGCGGUCUGUCACGUCGGCUGUGAAAUCCCGAGGCUCAACCUCGGGUCUGCAGUCGAUACGGGCAAACUAGAGUAUUGCAGGGGAGACUGGAAUUCCUGGUGUAGCGGUGAAAAUGCGCAGAUAUCAGGAGGAACACCGGUGGCGAAGGCGGGUCUCUGGGCCGGAACUGACGCUGAGGAGCGAAAGCGUGGGGAGCGAACAGG
rnacentral:rRNA from 1 species